CGAAUGCUGACGUAAGUAACGAUAAAGGGGGUGAAAAGCCUCCUCGCCGGAAGACCAAGGGUUCCUGUCCAACGUUAAUCGGGGCAGGGUGAGUCGACCCCUAAGGUGAGGCCGAAAGGCGUAAUCGAUGGGAAGCAGGUUAAUAUUCCUGCACGACUUGUAAUUGCGAUGGGGGGACGGAGAAGGCUAGGUGGGCCAGGCGACGGUUGUCCUGGUGAAAGUGCGUAGGUGGUGUUUCUAGGCAAAUCCGGAGACACAACACUGAGACACGAGACGAACGCACCACGGUGCGGAAGCCAUUGAUGCCCUGCUUCCAGGAAAAGCCUCUAAGCUUCAGAUUACAAGUCAUCGUACCCCAAACCGACACAGGUGGUCGGGUAGAGAAUACCAAGGCGCUUGAGAGAACUCGGGUGAAGGAACUAGGCAAAAUAGUACCGUAACUUCGGGAGAAGGUA
rnacentral:rRNA from 1 species